rnacentral:tRNA from 1 species
CGGGGUGUAGCGUAGUCCGGUUAUCGCGACAGCUUUGGGAGCUGUAGGCCGCAGGUUCGAAUCCUGCCACCCCGA